GGCAAUGCCUCCCAGGCUUGGGAGCUGGGAAAAGGCCCCAGGAGCUAGGGCAUCCUGAUUGUUCUUUCAAAGAAAUCCCUCUUGUUCUUAGUCAACAUGCUGGAUACCAGCUAAAAAAUGCAAAAUGAUCUUCAGGCAGGGAUGGCACAGGACCCUUGCUGAGCUGUGAAGCCUGGCUGUGAGGAUUCCUGCAUGGAAACAUCAACAUGUUGCCAGAUUGGUAUACGACUCAACACCACACUGGUUUUGGUAUCAAGAUGAUGCUGGCCUCAUAGAAUGAUUUAGAGAGGAAUCUCUCUUUUUCUAUUGUUUGGAAUAGUUUCAGAAGGAAUGGUACCAGCUCCUCUUUCUACGGCUGUGAAUCCAUCUGAUCCUGGGCUGUUUUUGUUGACAUGCUGCUCCCAAACAGUGCCUUUGAAUCAAGACCCAGUCAUCGUAUUCGAAGAAAAAGGAAAUAUCCCUGACCAUGUUGGGACUUAACACUGCUUCACAGAGCUACCCAAACCAAGGAGAAUACCAACGUGAAUUGUCUUUCCACCUGUUGUGUGGGGCCAGCAAUUAUUCUUUUAGCUUGACGCGUUAACCCACCUGCUCCCUGUGGCCCUGGGAUGCUCUGCCAUCCCCCGUGGCUGCCAGUUCACUUAGGGUAGACUUAUGGCAGAGGGAUGUCAAUUUUGCUUGAACUGCUCAAUCACUGCUGACAUUUCGUUAACCACCCUAUGAACUUCUCAAGCCUGAAGUAGCAGCAACUUGUGCCCUUGAAAACUGAACAGAAAACAACUGUAUUGAUUUUCUACUAUCAACAAGAAAAAGACAAUUUCUCUUUGCUGAGAAUGUUCAUAAUGCAUUUUACACCACUUAUUCUCGGCAGUCCACCUCUUCCUGAUAUAUUGUUGGGCCUCUUUAAACCCCUGCUGCUUUAGACUCUGCUAGAAUUAACCCUGAAAUGCCAGCACCAUCUCAAGCCCUUCCAGUUCCCGGAUAGAAAUGUUCAUCAGUGCUGAAUUGACAGCCUACUUAGGCAAGGGAGCUGUGAUCAUUUAGAAAUUACAAAGGAACUCAGGCCUGGGUGAAGGGUUUGGGGUUGGGACACUAGGAAUCUCUUUUAGUAAAAUUCUCUUUUAAAAGAA
rnacentral:lncRNA from 1 species